UUCGGGAUGCCGGCGAGUGGCGAACGGGUGAGUAAUACGUGGAAACCUAUCCCGAGGUGGGGGAUAACAGCUGGAAACGGCUGCUAAUACCGCAUAAGCCCUAAGGGGGAAAGAUUUAUCGCCUUGGGAGGGGUCCACGUCGGAUUAGCUAGUUGGUAGGGUAAAGGCCUACCAAGGCGACGAUCCGUAGCUGGUCUGAGAGGAUGGACAGCCACACUGGGACUGAGACACGGCCCAGACUCCUACGGGAGGCAGCAGUGGGGAAUAUUGCGCAAUGGGGGAAACCCUGACGCAGCGAUGCCGCGUGGGUGAAGAAGGCCCUCGGGUUGUAAAGCCCUUUCAGUGGGGAAGAUAGUGACGGUACCCACAGAAGAAGCUCCGGCUAACUCCGUGCCAGCAGCCGCGGUAAUACGGAGGGGGCGAGCGUUGUUCGGAAUUACUGGGCGUAAAGGGCGCGUAGGCGGUGCAGCAAG
rnacentral:rRNA from 1 species